rnacentral:rRNA from 1 species
GCGCUGCUUAACAUGCAGUCGAACGGCAGCACGGAGCUUGCUCUGGUGGCGAGUGGCGAACGGGUGAGUAAUAUAUCGGAACGUACCCUAGAGUGGGGGAUAACGUAGCGAAAGUUACGCUAAUACCGCAUACGAUCUAAGGAUGAAAGUGGGGGAUCGCAAGACCUCAUGCUCGUGGAGCGGCCGAUAUCUGAUUAGCUAGUUGGUAGGGUAAAAGCCUACCAAGGCAUCGAUCAGUAGCUGGUCUGAGAGGACGACCAGCCACACUGGAACUGAGACACGGUCCAGACUCCUACGGGAGGCAGCAGUGGGGAAUUUUGGACAAUGGGCGAAAGCCUGAUCCAGCAAUGCCGCGUGAGUGAAGAAGGCCUUCGGGUUGUAAAGCUCUUUUGUCAGGGAAGAAACGGUGAAAGCUAAUAUCCUUUGCUAAUGACGGUACCUGAAGAAUAAGCACCGGCUAACUACGUGCCAGCAGCCGCGGUAAUACGUAGGGUGCAAGCGUUAAUCGGAAUUACUGGGCGUAAAGCGUGCGCAGGCGGUUUUGUAAGUCUGAUGUGAAAUCCCCGGGCUCAACCUGGGAAUUGCAUUGGAGACUGCAAGGCUAGAAUCUGGCAGAGGGGGGUAGAAUUCCACGUGUAGCAGUGAAAUGCGUAGAUAUGUGGAGGAACACCGAUGGCGAAGGCAGCCCCCUGGGUCAAGAUUGACGCUCAUGCACGAAAGCGUGGGGAGCAAACAGGAUUAGAUACCCUGGUAGUCCACGCCCUAAACGAUGUCUACUAGUUGUCGGGUCUUAAUUGACUUGGUAACGCAGCUAACGCGUGAAGUAGACCGCCUGGGGAGUACGGUCGCAAGAUUAAAACUCAA